GUUUAGGGUUUGGUUAGGAUUUGAUUUAGGAUUAGGAUUUGGUUAGGAUUUGAUUUAGGAUUAGAAUUUGGUUUAGAAUUUAGGAUUUGGUUAGGGUUUAAAAUUUAAUUAGGAUUUGAUCAGGAUUUGAUUUAGGAUUUAGGGUUUUAUUUGAGUUUGUUUAGGAUUUAAAAUUUAGUUAGUUUUUGACCUAAAUUUUAAAUAAAGUAAGAUUUCAACUCGGAUUAAAUUAAGAUUGAAUUGAGAUAUGUUUGUAAUCAUUCUAAUAUUUCUUUAAGAUUUCUUAUUGUUUCUUUGGAAUUCAUUUGAGGUUUCUCUGAAUUUGAUUAAAGCUUAUUUAGCAUUGUUAGUGUUCUAUUAAAAUUAGAAUUUUGUUGUUGCAAUUUCUAUUCUACCUUCCAUAGCUAGGUACCCAGAGCAUUUUCAAGUAAGACUUCACGUAUUAUAACAUGUUCUUCAAGCACGUCAUGACUUUCAAGCAAUUA
rnacentral:lncRNA from 1 species